GCCAGGUGCUGAUGGGUGUUAGGCUUUGUUUUCCUGGUGCUCAGGCUCGGCUUCCACCUGUGCAAGAAGAGAGCUCCUGAAUCAACAAUGGCUGCAGCCUCUUCCCGUGGCCUCGAAUCCAGCCAGGAUCCCCGGCUCUGUCCCCGCGCUGAUUUUGGAGGAGGUCGAGUGUCCCCUCCAGCCCAACUGUCACUCUGCCCCCGCCCAGCUGCUCCCAGUGUUCCCAAUAAAGCUUCCCAGUGCG